rnacentral:rRNA from 1 species
GAUGAACGCUGGCGGCGUGCCUAAUACAUGCAAGUCGAGCGAACGGACGAGAAGCUUGCUUCUCUGAUGUUAGCGGCGGACGGGUGAGUAACACGUGUAUAACCUACCUAUAAGACUGGGAUAACUUCGGGAAACCGUAGCUAAUACCGGAUAAUAUUUUGAACCGCAUGGUUCAAAAGUGAAAGACGGUCUUGCUGUCACUUAUAGAUGGAUCCGCGCUGCAUUAGCUAGUUGGUAAGGUAACGGCUUACCAAGGCAACGAUGCAUAGCCGACCUGAGAGGGUGAUCGGCGACACUGGAACUGAGACACGGUCCAGACUACUGCGGGAGGCAGCAGUAGGGAAUCUUCCGCAAUGGGCGAAAGCCUGACGGAGCAACGCCGCGUGAGUGAUGAAGGUCUUCGGAUCGUAAAACUCUGUUAUGAGGGAAGAACAUAUGUGUAAGUAACUGAGCACAUAUUGACGGUACCUAAUAAGAAAGCAACGGCUAACUACGUG